rnacentral:lncRNA from 1 species
GAAGAUUGGGAGGCAUUCAAAGAUUGAGAGCAUUUCAAAGAUCAAGAAGAGUAGAAGAUUUCUGAAGUGAAGAUCAAGCAGUAAUGAAGUUUGUGAUUAAGUGGCAACGAAAUUCGUGAUCAAGAUAUCAAGCGAAGUUCGUGAUCAAGAUAAAGUGUUCGUGAUCAAAAUUAAGUCGUGAAGACCCUUGAAGCGAAGAUAUCAAGUGUAGUUCUUGAUCAAGAUCAAGUCGUGAAGACCUUUGAAGCGAAGAUUAAGCAAAGUUUGUGAUUAAGACUAAGUCCGAGUUCAUGACUAUUGAAGACAAAGUGAAGAAAUUAAUUAAAGGAAUUUUCAGAGAUUAUCACUCACAUCAUCAAAUAUUUGUAUUUGUUUCAUAAUUUUCAAGUCAAGAAAUUUCAACGAGAAAUUUGUGUGUACAAUCUCACUUGCAUCUCGGCAUUCAGGAAACAUGUGCUAUGAUCAAUAAGUAAUAAUCGAUAAUCAUUUCC